rnacentral:rRNA from 1 species
GUAGGUGGCAAGCGUUGUCCGGGAAUUAUUGGGCGUAAAGCGCGCGCAGGUGGUCUUUAAGUCUGAUGUGAAAGCCCCCGGGCUCAACCGGGGAGGGUCAUUGGAAACUGGGGAACUUGAGUGCAGGAGAGGAAAGUGGAAUUCCACGUGUAGCGGUGAAAUGCGUAGAUAUGUGGAGGAACACCAGUGGCGAAGGCGACUUUCUGGCCUGUAACUGACACUGAGGCGCGAAAGCGUGGGGAGCAAACAGGAUUAGAUACCCUGGUAGUCCACGCCGUAAACGAUGAGUGCUAAGUGUUGGGGGGGUUUCCGCCCCUCAGUGCUGCAGCUAACGCAUUAAGCACUCCGCCUGGGGAGUACGGUCGCAAAGACUG